CGACGGCAGCACAGCAGAGCUUGCUCUGUGGGUGGCGAGUGGCGGACGGGUGAGUAAUGCAUCGGGACCUACCCAGACGUGGGGGAUAACCUCGGGAAACCGGGACUAAUACCGCAUACGUCCUACGGGAGAAAGCGGGGGAUCUUCGGACCUCGCGCGGUUAGACGGACCGAUGUGCGAUUAGCUAGUUGGUAGGGUAAAGGCCUACCAAGGCGACGAUCGCUAGCUGGUCUGAGAGGAUGAUCAGCCGCACUGGAACUGAGACACGGUCCAGACUCCUACGGGAGGCAGCAGUGGGGAAUAUUGGACAAUGGGCGCAAGCCUGAUCCAGCAAUGCCGCGUGUGUGAAGAAGGCCUUCGGGUUGUAGAGCACUUUUAUCAGGAACGAAAUACCACGGGUCAAUAACCGGUGGGGCUGACGGUACCUGAGGAAUAAGCACCGGCUAACUUCGUGCCAGCAGCCGCGGUAAUACGAAGGGUGCAAGCGUUAAUCGGAAUUACUGGGCGUAAAGGGUGCGUAGGCGGUUCGUUAAGUCUGUUGUGAAAUCCCCGGGCUCAACCUGGGAAUGGCAAUGGAUACUGGCGAGCUAGAGUGUGUCAGAGGAUGGUGGAAUUUCCGGUGUAGCGGUGAAAUGCGUAGAGAUCGGAAGGAACAUCAGUGGCGAAGGCGGCCAUCUGGGACAACACUGACGCUGAAGCACGAAAGCGUGGGGAGCAAACAGGAUUAGAUACCCUGGUAGUCCACGCCCUAAACGAUGCGAACUGGAUGUUGGUCUCAACUCGGAGAUCAGUGUCGAAGCUAACGCGUUAAGUUCGCCG
rnacentral:rRNA from 1 species